rnacentral:rRNA from 1 species
GAUGAACGCUGGCGGCGUGCCUAAUACAUGCAAGUCGAGCGAACAGAUUAGGAGCUUGCUCCUCUGACGUUAGCGGCGGACGGGUGAGUAACACGUGGAUAACCUACCUAUAAGACUGGGAUAACUUCGGGAAACCGGAGCUAAUACCGGAUAAUAUAUUUAACCGCAUGGUUCAAUAGUGAAAGACGGUUUUGCUGUCACUUAUAGAUGGAUCCGCGCCGCAUUAGCUAGUUGGUAAGGUAACGGCUUACCAAGGCAACGAUGCGUAGCCGACCUGAGAGGGUGAUCGGCCACACUGGAACUGAGACACCGUCCAGACUCCUACGGGAGGCAGCAGUAGGGAAUCUUCCGCAAUGGUCGAAAGCAUGACGCAGCAACGCCGCGUGAGUGAUGAAGGUCUUCGGAUCGUAAAACUCUGUUAUUAGGUAAGAACAAAUGUGUAAGUAACUAUACACAUCUUGACGGUACCUAAUCAAAAAGCCACGGCUAACUACGUG